rnacentral:rRNA from 1 species
UACGUAGGGUGCGAGCGUUAAUCGGAAUUACUGGGCGUAAAGCGUGCGCAGGCGGUUUUGUAAGCCAGAUGUGAAAUCCCCGGGCUUAACUUGGGAAUUGCGCUCGAAACUACGUGGCUCGAGUGUGGCAGAGGAAGGUGGAAUUCCACGUGUAGCGGUGAAAUGCGUAGAGAUGUGGAGGAACACCGAUGGCGAAGGCAGCCUUCUGGGCCAACACUGACGCUCAUGCACGAAAGCGUGGGGAGCAAACAGG